rnacentral:rRNA from 1 species
UGGGGAAUUUUGGACAAUGGGGGAAACCCUGAUCCAGCCAUCCCGCGUGUGCGAUGAAGGCCUUCGGGUUGUAAAGCACUUUUGGCAGGAAAGAAACGUCAUGGGUUAAUACCCCGUGAAACUGACGGUACCUGCAGAAUAAGCACCGGCUAACUACGUGCCAGCAGCCGCGGUAAUACGUAGGGUGCAAGCGUUAAUCGGAAUUACUGGGCGUAAAGCGUGCGCAGGCGGUUCGGAAAGAAGGAUGUGAAAUCCCAGAGCUCAACUUUGGAACUGCAUUUUAAACUACCGGGCUAGAGUGUGUCAGAGGGAGGUGGAAUUCCGCGUGUAGCAGUGAAAUGCGUAGAUAUGCGGAGGAACACCGAUGGCGAAGGCAGCCUCCUGGGAUAACACUGACGCUCAUGCACGAAAGCGUGGGGAGCAAACAGG